AACGUCACAAAUGCUGGAAUUAUAAAUGAAACUUCGUCAAAUUUGUGAUAAAGGCUCUACGUCCUUAAUCCCUUUGUAGAUCUAUUAUCUAUGGUCCUUAAUAUUUUUAAUGGCUUACAAGCCCAGCCUAUUUCUAUAAAACGUCAAUGAUAUAACCGAUUUCUGUAAUUUUGAGUUUUGAUCUUUUGUGUGAAACAUUUUUCGUGGUAAAAAUACUUAAUUACUUAAUUUGGUUUAGUUUAUCAAAAAAAGGUGCUUACACUAUAUCAAGCAAUUAGUGCUGUUUUGGGGCUUCUUUCUGCCCAUGUUUAUAAUAAGCAUAGCAUCCAGAGUGAACAUUAAUGGUAGGAACGAUUGUAUGGUGCAAAGUAGGACUGUGACCAGUAUGGACACAAACAAAUGGAAUCAUUAGGAAAAUUGCACAAACUUUGGACAUCAUGUGUAAUUGUUCUGUGACAGUAGCAGUCUGUAUUUCAUCCCAGUAUGGAGUAGUAUCCUUUUAUUCAAUGAAAUAAAAAACAACAAGGGAGCAUAAAGCUUGGGAUGACAUGUUUGAUGAAACAUUGGUUUCUCUUUCACUCAAAAAAGUAGCAGUACCUACAUUCCCGAUGAAAGCAUGAUGAUGUCUUUUUUUUUCCAUUGUGAAUGAAGACAAUGUGUUACUGUUAAAGGAAGGAUUUAUGAUAUGAAUUAAUGGGCUAACAAAUAAGAGAGAUUGGGAUGUUAAGUUUAACCGUAACGAUGACGAUAUGGGAUGUCUGCACUGGUAUCCUUUCUGAAUUUGGUUUACAUUCCACACAUGUAAACGUUGGAACGUUACAUUCUACAGCUAAUUCAGAUUGGCCAACAAUUGAGAGAGAUUGGAACUGGUAUCCUUUGCUCACUGAAAAGAUAAGUCGUCUCCUGUGGUGUUUUAGCUGUUAACUUUUCAUCUUGGAGGCUCUUAUAGUUAAUUAAGGUGAGCAUACAUGCUAUAUUAUACAUAUCUGGUAUAUUUAUUAGAUAUUAACAGAGAAAAGAGUUCAGCAUUACUUUAACACUGUAUCCUGCACGUUAUUUACUUAAAAUUAAAUUAAUUAUAUCUGAAUUAUGUAGUUUUUUCCAGGGUGACGGUCAAAUAAU